CCUACGGGUGGCAGCAGUGAGGAAUAUUGGUCAAUGGACGAGAGUCUGAACCAGCCAAGUAGCGUGAAGGAUGACUGCCCUAUGGGUUGUAAACUUCUUUUAUAUGGGAAUAAAACGUUCCACGUGUGGGAUUUUGUAUGUACCAUAUGAAUAAGGAUCGGCUAACUCCGUGCCAGCAGCCGCGGUAAUACGGAGGAUCCGAGCGUUAUCCGGCUUUAUUGGGUUUAAAGGGAGCGUAGGUGGAUUGUUAAGUCAGUUGUGAAAGUUUGCGGCUCAACCGUAAAAUUGCAGUUGAAACUGGCAGUCUUGAGUACAGUAGAGGUGGGCGGAAUUCGGGGUGUAGCGGUGAAAUGCUUAGAUAUCACGAAGAACUCCGAUUGCGAAGGCAGUUCACUGGACUGCAACUGACACUGAGGCUCGAAAGUGUGGGUAUCAAACAGGAUUAGAUACCCGUGUAGUC
rnacentral:rRNA from 1 species